rnacentral:misc_RNA from 1 species
GUGAAAGAUAUUCUCGUCGGGUUGAACGGCCUCCGCUGAGGCCGGUGAGAAUACUACCAAUUGUUUUUCCUCGUCGGCAAUUGUUUUCCAGCGAGAGGAGGAUAUCGAGACGUAUUGAUCGUAAAGAAGCUGAUGAGAGGCGGAAUCGUUCUGUCCUGUGGUGAUGGCGGCGACUCUGGCGUUGGAUAAAUGGUAGAUAACGAAAACCAGAGCAUUCAUGAGAAGAAAAACGAACAGAUGGUUGUUCAAAACGGAGAGAUAAGCAGGUGCAAUCUCUUGGACGAACGGAAACCAUGUGAUGGAGCAGCAAAGGAGAGUGACGGCCGCUGAUAGGGUAAAACAGAAUCUAGAGAUUCUGUCUCUCCUGUAUCUUCUCAUGGCGUCAGCUUUCUCAGCCUUGACUAUAUCAAGUUCAAAAGAAGACAUCUUCAGAGGAAGCCAAGUGAAAGAAACGAUGGAGAAUAGAAUAUGAAGAGAGACAUAAAGAAAGUGCACACACGCGCACACACACACACAUGUUAAAAGAAAAUUAACGAGACAUUA